rnacentral:SRP_RNA from 1 species
GCUGGGUGUAGUGGUGCAUGCCUGUAAUUCCAGCAACUCAGGAGGCUUAGGCAGGAGGAUCACAAGUUCGAGGCCAGAUUCGACAACUUAGUGACACCCUCAGCAAUUUAGGGAGACUCUGUCUCAA